GGCCCUAGGGUGUUACAUAUAAGAUUGCAAAUCUUAAGAGGCAGACUAACCCCUGCUGGGGCUU
rnacentral:tRNA from 2 species